UAACGCGAAGAACCUUACCAAGGCUUGACAUACGCCGGAAACGUCUAGAGAUAGGCGCCCCCUUGUGGUCGGUGUACAGGUGGUGCAUGGUUGUCGUCAGCUCGUGUCGUGAGAUGUUGGGUUAAGUCCCGCAACGAGCGCAACCCUUGUUCUGUGUUGCCAGCAUGCCUUUCGGGGUGAUGGGGACUCACAGGAGACUGCCGGGGUCAACUCGGAGGAAGGUGGGGACGACGUCAAGUCAUCAUGCCCCUUAUGUCUUGGGCUGCACACGUGCUACAAUGGCCGGUACAAAGAGCUGCGAUGCCGUGAGGCGGAGCGAAUCUCAAAAAGCCGGUCUCAGUUCGGAUUGGGGUCUGCAACUCGACCCCAUGAAGUCGGAGUUGCUAGUAAUCGCAGAUCAGCAUUGCUGCGGUGAAUACGUUCCCGGGCCUUGUACACACCGA
rnacentral:rRNA from 1 species